GGGACUUGCUUCCAUUCAGCCGCAAGAGCAACGCUGAGGUCAGGCACUGAUGUUGGGCUAUUAGCACUGCCUCAAAGUCGACGUUCCGAUUCAUGCCAAAGGUGUUCGAUGGGGUUGAGCUCUAGCAGACCACCUAGGUCUGUCUAAGAUGCAGCGGAAGGAGACAGAGCAGAAGGAGGUGAAGCAGCCGUUUGCACAUGGACCUACCUGGGCACCAAGCAGUCAUCCGUAGGCUACAGAGCCAAACCUUUAGAGCCAACUAUUGCAGAAGAGGCUGGAGCAGCAGGCAGCAGAGAGGAAACAGAAGCAGAGUGGAAGCAGCAGAUCCUCGAUGAGCGAUCCAGAAAGGACAUAGAGCAGCUGCAAGAGAGAAACACCAAAUUACAUCACACACACACACACGCACACGCACACGCGCACACACACACACACACAGAACAGAACGCCCUGAGUAUGGAGCUGCUCAGCUGUCCCUCGACAAUCAGCACAAAGGGUUUCCAAC